rnacentral:rRNA from 1 species
AUUGAACGCUGGCGGCAGGCCUAACACAUGCAAGUCGAGCGGAGCGGCGGACGGGUGAGUAAUGCCUAGGAAUCUGCCUGGUAGUGGGGGAUAACGUCCGGAAACGGGCGCUAAUACCGCAUACUAUCAGAUGAGCCUAGGUCGGGUUAGCUAUUUGGUGGGGUAAAGGCCUACCAAGGCGACGAUCCGUAACUGGUCUGAGAGGAUGAUCAGUCACACUGGAACUGAGACACGGUCCAAACUCCUACGGGAGCCAGCGGAGGGAAAUAUUGGACAAUGGGGGAAAGCCUGCUGAUGCCAUGCCGGUUGUGUAAGGAGGGUCUUCGGAUUUUAAAGCACUUUAAGUUAGGAGGCGUUACCAACAGAAUAAGCACCGGCUAACUUCGUGCCAGCAGCCGCGGUAAUAC